UGUGUUAGGAAGAAGAAAAUCUUGCUUGUAAAGAUGGAACAGUGAAGCUUGAACCCACCUGGAACCACACUGAAACUCCAAUUUUGAUUUAUCUGUUUCUUUGGAUUUCUGCUUUUGUGAAGGGCAGUAUUAUGGCAAACUAGGAAGCAAGCAGGUCACUUUCUUCCAUGAAUUAAAUAAUCAGCUAGAUGAUCCUAUUUGCUGCCUACCGUGAUCUUGAAAAUUUAAUCACAGUAUAAUUUAA